UACGAAGGGGGCUAGCGUUGUUCGGAAUCACUGGGCGUAAAGGGCGCGUAGGCGGCCGAUCAAGUCGGGGGUGAAAGCCUGUGGCUCAACCACAGAAUUGCCUUCGAUACUGUUUGGCUUGAGACCGGAAGAGGUUAGUGGAACUGCGAGUGUAGAGGUGAAAUUCGUAGAUAUUCGGAGGAACACCAGUGGCGAAGGCGGCUCACUGGCCCGGUACUGACGCUGAGGUGCGAAAGCGUGGGGAGCAAACAGG
rnacentral:rRNA from 1 species